GUGAAUCAUCGAAUUUUUGAACGCAAAUUGCGCUUCCUAGCAUCCCUGGAGGUAUGCCUGUUUGAGCGUCAGUAUUAACAAAAAAAUCGGUUUGGUUGCAGAUUGUUGCGUUUCCGGAGUUUGGGCUAUCUUAACUUUAUUGUUUAAGGGGCUUAAAAUUGACCUUUUUUGCGCAUUUUUAGACGUGCAUACAUUUUUUUUUAUUCGUCUAUCCUUAAUGCCAAAAUUUUAUUAGUUGCGAUCACAUCGUGUGGUUUCGUGUCCUUAAAA
rnacentral:misc_RNA from 1 species